UCCUUGGUGGCCCAGUGGCUAAGAGUCUGCGCUCCCAACGCAGGGGGCCCGGGUUUGAUUCCUGGUUGAGGAG
rnacentral:tRNA from 1 species